CCCUAUUAGCCUUUGGCUGUGAUGGCGCCUCCUACGCUGUGAGGCAUGUACUCUACACCAUCCUAGACGACAGAAGACUCACUUGUCAGCCUGCAGUGUUGAUGGUGAAAAAGGAGGAAGAAGGAAUGGAACGCAAGAAUGAACAUGAUCUCCACCAAGAAUGCUAUUUCACCAAUUAUGUCAAAACUGACCUUUAGAACAAUCUCUGAAAAUGUAAGCCACUUUCAUGAUCACACCACACUACACAUUUUAAUCCUAUCUGUGACCAUUGCUACAUAAUAGGGAUUCUCGUUUUCUUGCCUGUUGUAUUUUUAGCCCAUUCUAGGUGUGUUCCAUGAUGUACAUAAGAUUCCAUACUUUUCUUGCCUCCUUACUGUUAGGCCUGGUAAUGGUUCUUAAAACCCAAAAGAAAAUGUCUAUGGCCCUUUCUAUUGCUAGGCUUGGUCACUGAUUAUUAAAACAGUAAUUAGUA